UGAAAGAGAAGUGUACACUAAUGUAGUUAUGAAUGCUCAGAAGAAAAGUGGGCUGUUUUGGGUAAGAAGAAACCCACAAAAAAGUGUGCUAGUUUGAUAGUGUUGGAGAAGUGCGGUUGGAUCCCUCCUUUGUGUAAAAUCUUGGAUCUCUCCUCCGACAGCUCAGGUUGAGCUCAUGAUACCUGUCUCCAUGAGUAGUCAAAACUAUUCAUGUAUGAUUUUAACUGUGCUUGGCUUGAAGUAUAUACUGACUGCGUUAGGAAUUUAGCUCUUCUCAUACUUCAAAACACUUUGAAUAAAUGGUAUAUGCCUACGGAACAAGAAAAAAUGUCAGAAUCAUAUUUUAUAACACCGGAUGGAAAGAAUGUCCUACUGCAUGGAAGUUAAUAACACAUUUUAUUUGUGCUCUGUACAACAGAAGACAAAGACUGAAGACAGCAGAUAGGAAGAGCCAGCAAACUGUAAUAUUUGAAAAUUCAUUGGAGUGUUCCAAGCAGAACAUUAAGGUAAUAUUUAUGUUCUGGAGAUAGUCCUAUGGAAAGAAAAUUCUC
rnacentral:lncRNA from 1 species